UAUGUUUUGGUGUACGCGCACAAUGAAUUUUGAAUUCAUUAGAAGCAGUUCGAGUCUGUUAAUCAUGG
rnacentral:tRNA from 1 species